rnacentral:rRNA from 1 species
UACAGAGGGUGCGAGCGUUUGUCCGGAAUUACUGGGCGUAAAGCGUGCGCGGGCGGUUUUGUAAGUCUGAUGUGAAAUCCCCGGGCUCAACCUGGGAAUUGCAUUGGAGACUGCAAGGCUAGAGUGUGUCAGAGGGGGGUAGAAUUCCACGUGUAGCAGUGAAAUGCGUAGAUAUGUGGAGGAACACCGAUGGCGAAGGCAGCCCCCUGGGAUAACACUGACGCUCAUGCACGAAAGCGUGGGGAGCAAACAGG